AUCGUACCUUGUUGCUUCGGCGGGCCCGCCGUUUCGACGGCCGCCGGGGAGGCCCUGCGCCCCCGGGCCCGCGCCCGCCGAAGACCCCAACAUGAACGCUGUUCUGAAAGUAUGCAGUCUGAGUUGAUUAUCGUAAUCAGUUAAAACUUUCAACAACGGAUCUCUUGGUUCCGGCAUCGAUGAAGAACGCAGCGAAAUGCGAUAAGUAAUGUGAAUUGCAGAAUUCAGUGAAUCAUCGAGUCUUUGAACGCACAUUGCGCCCCCUGGUAUUCCGGGGGGCAUGCCUGUCCGAGCGUCAUUGCUGCCCUCAAGCACGGCUUGUGUGUUGGGCCCCCGUCCCCCUCUCCCGGGGGACGGGCCCGAAAGGCAGCGGCGGCACCGCGUCCGGUCCUCGAGCGUAUGGGGCUUUGUCACCUGCUCUGUAGGCCCGGCCGGCGCCAGCCGACACCCAACUUUAUUUUUCUAAGGUUGACCUCGGAUCAGGUAGGGAUACCCGCUGAACUUAAGCAUAUCAA
rnacentral:rRNA from 1 species